GAAAUGCGAUAACUAAUGUGAAUUGCAGAUUUCAGUGAAUCAUCGAGUCUUUGAACGCAAGUGGCACUGUGGGGCAUGCCCCGCAGUAUACCUGUUCGAGCGUCGCCAUAUUCAUCAACAUCGAACCAAAUCCUGUGUUUGGUCCGAUCGUUGGACGAUGUCUGUUGAAUGCUUGUGGCAUUCAUCAGUGACGAAAGUCAUUCCCUAGCGCGCCAGGUGUACUCUUUCAUCUCUUGGCAUCACACAUGCUUGCAACGUGGUAAGGUGACUUUGUUCACAUUCCUACUCUCGGUGUAAGCGCCUCGAGGCAGUGAGAGAGGAGCUGUGCCAUAUAUGCUGCUGGGUCCCUCUUUACUACGCGAAACAUCAUCCACACACGACCUCGAAUCAGGCAAGGCUACCCGCUGAAUUUAA
rnacentral:misc_RNA from 1 species